rnacentral:rRNA from 1 species
AUGGCUAUUUCUGAGGCAUGCAAAGAAGCUAUCUGGUUGAGAGGUUUGUACACUGAGCUUUGUGGAGAUUCAUCAUGCCCUACCAUAUUUUCUGACAGUCAAAGUGUCAUAUAUCUUACAAAGAAUUCAAUGUAUCAUGAGAGGACAAAGCACAUCGAUGUCAGAUAUCACUAUAUUCGAGAUGUUGUUGCUGAAGGUGAUUUGAAGGUAUGCAACAUAAGUACUCAUGAUAAUCCUGCUGAUAUGAUGACAAAGCCAGUUCCUACCAAUAAGUUUGAGCUUUGCUCAGGCUUAGUUGGUAUUUCUCACUAG